GGGUUGUGAGGUUAAGCGACUAAGCGUACACGGUGGAUGCCCUGGCAGUCAGAGGCGAUGAAGGACGUGCUAAUCUGCGAUAAGCGUCGGUAAGGUGAUAUGAACCGUUAUAACCGGCGAUUUCCGAAUGGGGAAACCCAGUGUGUUUCGACACACUAUCAUUAACUGAAUCCAUAGGUUAAUGAGGCGAACCGGGGGAACUGAAACAUCUAAGUACCCCGAGGAAAAGAAAUCAACCGAGAUUCCCCCAGUAGCGGCGAGCGAACGGGGAGCAGCCCAGAGCCUGAAUCAGUGUGUGUGUUAGUGGAAGCGUCUGGAAAGGCGCGCGAUACAGGGUGACAGCCCCGUACACAAAAAUGCACAUGCUGUGAGCUCGAUGAGUAGGGCGGGACACGUGGUAUCCUGUCUGAAUAUGGGGGGACCAUCCUCCAAGGCUAAAUACUCCUGACUGACCGAUAGUGAACCAGUACCGUGAGGGAAAGGCGAAAAGAACCCCGGCGAGGGGAGUGAAAAAGAACCUGAAACCGUGUACGUACAAGCAGUGGGAGCACGCUUAGGCGUGUGACUGCGUACCUUUUGUAUAAUGGGUCAGCGACUUAUAUUCUGUAGCAAGGUUAACCGAAUAGGGGAGCCGAAGGGAAACCGAGUCUUAACUGGGCGUUAAGUUGCAGGGUAUAGACCCGAAACCCGGUGAUCUAGCCAUGGGCAGGUUGAAGGUUGGGUAACACUAACUGGAGGACCGAACCGACUAAUGUUGAAAAAUUAGCGGAUGACUUGUGGCUGGGGGUGAAAGGCCAAUCAAACCGGGAGAUAGCUGGUUCUCCCCGAAAGCUAUUUAGGUAGCGCCUCGUGAAUUCAUCUCCGGGGGUAGAGCACUGUUUCGGCAAGGGGGUCAUCCCGACUUACCAACCCGAUGCAAACUGCGAAUACCGGAGAAUGUUAUCACGGGAGACACACGGCGGGUGCUAACGUCCGUCGUGAAGAGGGAAACAACCCAGACCGCCAGCUAAGGUCCCAAAGUCAUGGUUAAGUGGGAAACGAUGUGGGAAGGCCCAGACAGCCAGGAUGUUGGCUUAGAAGCAGCCAUCAUUUAAAGAAAGCGUAAUAGCUCACUGGUCGAGUCGGCCUGCGCGGAAGAUGUAACGGGGCUAAACCAUGCACCGAAGCUGCGGCAGCGACGCUGAUGCGUUGUUGGGUAGGGGAGCGUUCUGUAAGCCUGCGAAGGUGUGCUGUGAGGCAUGCUGGAGGUAUCAGAAGUGCGAAUGCUGACAUAAGUAACGAUAAAGCGGGUGAAAAGCCCGCUCGCCGGAAGACCAAGGGUUCCUGUCCAACGUUAAUCGGGGCAGGGUGAGUCGACCCCUAAGGCGAGGCCGAAAGGCGUAGUCGAUGGGAAACAGGUUAAUAUUCCUGUACUUGGUGUUACUGCGAAGGGGGGACGGAGAAGGCUAUGUUGGCCGGGCGACGGUUGUCCCGGUUUAAGCGUGUAGGCUGGUUUUCCAGGCAAAUCCGGAAAAUCAAGGCUGAGGCGUGAUGACGAGGCACUACGGUGCUGAAGCAACAAAUGCCCUGCUUCCAGGAAAAGCCUCUAAGCAUCAGGUAACAUCAAAUCGUACCCCAAACCGACACAGGUGGUCAGGUAGAGAAUACCAAGGCGCUUGAGAGAACUCGGGUGAAGGAACUAGGCAAAAUGGUGCCGUAACUUCGGGAGAAGGCACGCUGAUAUGUAGGUGAAGUCCCUCGCGGAUGGAGCUGAAAUCAGUCGAAGAUACCAGCUGGCUGCAACUGUUUAUUAAAAACACAGCACUGUGCAAACACGAAAGUGGACGUAUACGGUGUGACGCCUGCCCGGUGCCGGAAGGUUAAUUGAUGGGGUUAGCCGCAAGGCGAAGCUCUUGAUCGAAGCCCCGGUAAACGGCGGCCGUAACUAUAACGGUCCUAAGGUAGCGAAAUUCCUUGUCGGGUAAGUUCCGACCUGCACGAAUGGCGUAAUGAUGGCCAGGCUGUCUCCACCCGAGACUCAGUGAAAUUGAACUCGCUGUGAAGAUGCAGUGUACCCGCGGCAAGACGGAAAGACCCCGUGAACCUUUACUAUAGCUUGACACUGAACAUUGAGCCUUGAUGUGUAGGAUAGGUGGGAGGCUUUGAAGUGUGGACGCCAGUCUGCAUGGAGCCGACCUUGAAAUACCACCCUUUAAUGUUUGAUGUUCUAACGUUGACCCGUAAUCCGGGUUGCGGACAGUGUCUGGUGGGUAGUUUGACUGGGGCGGUCUCCUCCUAAAGAGUAACGGAGGAGCACGAAGGUUGGCUAAUCCUGGUCGGACAUCAGGAGGUUAGUGCAAUGGCAUAAGCCAGCUUGACUGCGAGCGUGACGGCGCGAGCAGGUGCGAAAGCAGGUCAUAGUGAUCCGGUGGUUCUGAAUGGAAGGGCCAUCGCUCAACGGAUAAAAGGUACUCCGGGGAUAACAGGCUGAUACCGCCCAAGAGUUCAUAUCGACGGCGGUGUUUGGCACCUCGAUGUCGGCUCAUCACAUCCUGGGGCUGAAGUAGGUCCCAAGGGUAUGGCUGUUCGCCAUUUAAAGUGGUACGCGAGCUGGGUUUAGAACGUCGUGAGACAGUUCGGUCCCUAUCUGCCGUGGGCGCUGGAGAACUGAGGGGGGCUGUUCCUAGUACGAGAGGACCGGAGUGGACGCAUCACUGGUGUUCGGGUUGUCAUGCCAAUGGCACUGCCCGGUAGCUAAAUGCGGAAGAGAUAAGUGCUGAAAGCAUCUAAGCACGAAACUUGCCCCGAGAUGAGUUCUCCCUGACCCUUUAAGGGUCCUGAAGGAACGUUGAAGACGACGACGUUGAUAGGCCGGGUGUGUAAGCGCAGCGAUGCGUUGAGCUAACCGGUACUAAUGAACCGUGAGGCUUAACCUUACAACGCCGAAGCUGUU
rnacentral:rRNA from 1 species